AGAUUGAACGCUAGCGGGAUGCUUUACACAUGCAAGUCGAACGGCAGCGCGGACUUCGGUCUGGCGGCGAGUGGCGAACGGGUGAGUAAUAUAUCGGAACGUGCCCAGUAGCGGGGGAUAACUACGCGAAAGCGUGGCUAAUACCGCAUACGCCUACGGGGAAAGGGGGGGAGUCGCAAGACCUCUCACUAUUGGAGCGGCCGAUAUCAGAUUAGCUAGUUGGUGAGGUAAAGGCUCACCAAGGCGACGAUCUGUAGCUGGUUUGAGAGGACGACCAGCCACACUGGGACUGAGACACGGCCCAGACUCCUACGGGAGGCAGCAGUGGGGGAAUUUUGGACAAUGGGGGAAACCUGAUCAGCCAUCCCGCGUGUGCGAUGAAGGCCUCGGUUGUAAG
rnacentral:rRNA from 1 species